CCUACGGGAGGCAGCAGUGGGGGAUAUUGCACAAUGGGGGAAACCCUGAUGCAGCGACGCCGCGUGAGUGAAGAAGUAUUUCGGUAUGUAAAGCUCUAUCAGCAGGGAAGAAAAUGACAGUACCUGACCAAGAAGCCCCGGCUAACUACGUGCCAGCAGCCGCGGCAAUACGUAGGGGGCAAGCGUUAUCCGGAUUUACUGGGUGUAAAGGGAGCGUAGACGGUUAUGUAAGUCUGGAGUGAAAGCCCGGGGCCCAACCCCGGGACUGCUUUGGAAACUGUGUAACUGGAGUACAGGAGGGGCAGGCGGAAUUCCUGGUGUAGCGGUGAAAUGCGUAGAUAUCAGGAGGAACACCGGCGGCGAAGGCGGCCUGCUAGACUGAAACUGACGUUGAGGCUCGAAAGCGUGGGGAGCAAACAGGAUUAGAUACCCCUGUAGUC
rnacentral:rRNA from 1 species